CACGGAUUUCUAUAAUAAGCCUACUAAACGGUAGAUUUGAAGUUCUAGUUUUUUGCACAUCAGAUGACGUCUAACGUCGCACUGUGAUGCUUUUGACUACUGGGGUAAAGGCACACAAGUGAUCGUCACAAGUGUAGAUCCCAAACCCCCAGUAGUGUCUAUGAUGUCUCCAUGUCAAUCUUCAUCUGAUACCCUAAUUCUUGGCUGUCUGGCCUCUGGGUUUUUACCUGCUGAAUCUGUCAGAUUCAAAUGGAUGGAUCAGAAAGGAAAUGCCUUGACUGAUUUCAUCCAGUACCCUACAGAAACAACUGGAGGCAAGAUGUUGACAAUCAGCCACAUAACUAUUAAUCAAGCUAAUCAAAGUAAAAUUAUGUGUGCUGCAGAACACCCACUGAAAACAGUCAGCGAAACAUUCAUAACAGUGACUCCACAAACACCAACCCUGAGUUUGGUUCCUGUUGUAACUCCAAAAAGAACAUCUGUCAUGUGUGUUAUUGAGGAUUUCUACCCCAAAAACCUCGCUGUACAAUGGAAAGUAAACAAUAACAUCACAAGCCAGCUAAAACCGGAAAGCAAACAAAAUAAAGAUACAGGUCUUUACACAGCAUACAGUUUUUAUGAAGUCAGCAGUGAGACUUGGCAUACAAAAACUGACUAUACCUGUGAGGUCACACAUCAGAAAAAUACGAUUCCUGUGACGAAGAACUUCGAAGCUAAAUUAACAUUGCUGCUGAAGCCACCAAUUGAGAGAGAACUAUUUGUCAAUAACAAAGUUAUUUUGCAAGCUGUUGUUUCUGGAGAAGUAAAAAAGACUUCAGUGUCGUGCACAGUGAAGGAUGUAAAAGUAGCGGAUAUCACACCAGGAAAUAUCGUCUCUUCUAAAGACACUCCACCGUUUAUAAUCCACAAUGUCACCAUUGAUACACAGAAAUGGUUUAAUGGUGAAACUGUCACCUGCACCAUCCAUGACACAAAUAAUAACAGAGACAUCAAGCAGGAAAUCCAUUUUGAUAAAGGAGAUAAAAGCAAACCCAAAGUUACCAUUUACAAACCUGAUAAUGGCACAGAUUAUGGUUCUCUGGUGUGUGAGGUCACAAGCCCUAAACUUGGCGAUGUCUAUAUCAUGUGGAAGGUGGGCAAUGAGUCUAUUGAGGGCAGAACCAGUGCUCCCAUCCUUCGAGAGGACUCCACAUCUGUUGUCAGCAUCCUAACAAUCCCAAAGAAAACAUAUGAAAAACCCCAAACCACCGUCACUUGUGCAGUCAAACAUGCCAACAUGGACAAUAUGGCAUCUCCACUACAAGUGACAACAAGCCUAACGGAGCCACCUGAGCCAGAGAAGGGUUUUGCUCUGAACUGUAAUAAUGAUGUUCUGGAGGAGGAUGAGUUCAGAAGUCUCUGGUCCACUGCCACUUCAUUCAUCUUCCUCUUCCUCUUUUCUCUGACAUACAGCGCUGCACUCAGCCUCUUAAGGAUGAAGCAGUGAUGAUUUUUUUAAAAAAACUUCUGAAAACUCCAAGGUUUCUGAUGGUGUUGAUUCUACAUAAUUUCCCUCUAUGCACACAAUGAUAUUGACAAAUAUGUACUCAGUGUUCACACUCAUCAAUAAAGUCUUAUUAUGUCUACUC